UACGUAGGGUGCAAGCGUUAAUCGGAAUUACUGGGCGUAAAGCGUGCGCAGGCGGUUGUGCAAGGACGAUGGGAAAUCCCCGGGCUUAACCUGGGAAUUGCAUUUGUGACUGCACGGCUAGAGUGUGUCAGAGGGGGGUAGAAUUCCACGUGUAGCAGUGAAAUGCGUAGAUAUCAGGAGGAACACCGAUGGCGAAGGCAGGUCUCUGGGCUGACACUGACGCUCAUGCACGAAAGCGUGGGGAGCAAACAGG
rnacentral:rRNA from 1 species